rnacentral:rRNA from 1 species
UACGUAGGGGUCGAGCGUUGUCCGGAAUUAUUGGGCGUAAAGGGCUCGUAGGCGGUUUGUCGCGUCGGGAGUGAAAUCCACUGGCUUAACUGGUGGCUUGCUUUCGAUACGGGCAGACUGGAGGUAUGCAGGGGAGAACGGAAUUCCUGGUGUAGCGGUGAAAUGCGCAGAUAUCAGGAGGAACACCGGUGGCGAAGGCGGGUCUCUGGGCAGUAACUGACGCUGAGGAGCGAAAGCCAGGGGAGCAAACGGG